UACGGAGGGAGCUAGCGUUGUUCGGAAUUACUGGGCGUAAAGCGCGCGUAGGCGGCUUUGUAAGUUAGAGGUGAAAGCCCGGGGCUCAACCCCGGAACUGCCUUUAAGACUGCAUCGCUUGAAUCCGGGAGAGGUGAGUGGAAUUCCGAGUGUAGAGGUGAAAUUCGUAGAUAUUCGCAAGAACACCAGUGGCGAAGGCGGCUCACUGGCCCGGUACUGACGCUGAGGUGCGAAAGCGUGGGGAGCAAACAGG
rnacentral:rRNA from 1 species